GACGAACGCUGGCGGCGUGCUUAACACAUGCAAGUCGAACGGAAAGGCCCUGCUUUUGUGGGGUGCUCGAGUGGCGAACGGGUGAGUAACACGUGAGUAACCUGCCCUUGACUUUGGGAUAACUUCAGGAAACUGGGGCUAAUACCGGAUAGGAUCUACUGCUGCAUGGUGGGGGUUGGAAAGUUUCGGCGGUUGGGGAUGGACUCGCGGCUUAUCAGCUUGUUGGUGGGGUAGUGGCUUACCAAGGCUUUGACGGGUAGCCGGCCUGAGAGGGUGACCGGCCACAUGGGGACUGAGGGACGGCCCAGACUGCUACGGGCGGCAACAGUGGGGAAUAUUGCGCAAUGGGCGGAAGCCUGAUGCAGCAGCGCCGCGUGCGGGAUGACGGCCUUCGGGUUGUAAACCGCUUUCGCCUGUGACGAAGCGUGAGUGGCGGUAAUGGGUAAAGAAGCACCGGCUAACUACGUG
rnacentral:rRNA from 1 species